rnacentral:rRNA from 1 species
UGAGUAACGCGUGAGGAACCUGCCUUCCAGAGGGGGACAACAGUUGGAAACGACUGCUAAUACCGCAUGACACAUUUGAAUCGCAUGGUUUGAAUGUCAAAGAUUUAUCGCUGGAAGAUGGCCUCGCGUCUGAUUAGCUAGUAGGCGGGGUAACGGCCCACCUAGGCGACGAUCAGUAGCCGGACUGAGAGGUUGACCGGCCACAUUGGGACUGAGACACGGACCAGACUCCUACGGAAGGCAGCAG